CCGUGGUUCACGAGCUGCUGCGAGUACCACGAGAGGAAGAAGUCGGCAUAUGGCGUCUCCCACGAGCCGCCGUGGUCUCUGAAGAAGUUGGCGGAAUCCGGUGAUUGGUUGUAUCCGGGUGCGUCGUGGGGGCCCGAGAGGCCCCACAACGGCUGGCCCGAUUGCUCAGCGUGCUGUUUUAGUUGCGCGAGCAUGUACUUGUCGUAGCAUUGGAAUUCACCGACGCCGGUGAACUGGUGGCCUCCGGUCGCUGGCGGGAACGACGGGUACCGGAGCUCGCCGUUGGGCCCGAGGCUGACAGUAAUGCCCUGAAGAUCAAUGGAUACGAACAUAUGAGAACCAAGAACGACCCAUUUCAGAUGAAACACACUGUUAUUCUACAACAAAUAGCAUUUCGGAAGCAUGAAUAUCUUAUUUGAUAUAUUUCUUUUCUAUUUACUCGAAGACUUUCUCAAAUACAAUUUUACCGUGUUUAUAUAUACGAUCGUUUAAUCAUCUUCUCUAAAACAUGCUUAAUCACUAUAGAAGUUUACGUUCGUAUAGGAACAUGCAAUAAUCGGUAAAUAAAGAAUAUGAUUAGAUAUCUAAACUAACAUAAAAUAUUCAUCCUUCAAGUCAUUUCCACGAAGUCACAUUGUGUUAUAGGUGAAAUGCAUUAUACUAACAAGCAAGGAUUGCCGACAACUUGCAAACAACUAAAGAUAUAAUAUAAUCCUAAAUAGUAAUAGUGAUAUAUGGCUAGGAGAUUGAUUCUAGUCCGUUUCAAGGACUCGUUUCAUUAUUUUUUUUAAAUUAUUUAUUUCAAGUACGAGAAAAAAAUAUACUGAACAACGUAUUCAUGCAUGCAAAUAAACUUCCAGACAUGUCAUGAAACAACAAGGGAGAGCAGCAAUACCGUAAUGGUGGAGCCGAAGAAAUCCGCAAAGGCCGACCGGAAGCUCCGGAAGAAGUCCUCAAAGGCCUCAACCGGCUUCCUGCCGCCGAGGACGGGCAAUUCGUCGACCGCGAACGAGAGGUACUCUUCAUGGUGCCGCCCGUAUCGAUCGGUGAAGAGAAUAUCGGGGUCGGCGGCGGCGGCGCGGGCGACCCACUCGGGGAGGGGGACUCCAGGGCGGCGGUGGGAGCCGUGGAGGCAAAGGGUGGCACGGACNUCUAUUUACUCAUAGAUUUUGUCUACAAUUUUACAGUGUGUGUAUAUAUAUAUAUAUAUAUAAUCAUUUAAUCAUUUUCUCUAAAAUAUGCUUAAUCACUCUAGAAGUUUACAUUUGUAUAGGAACAUGCAAUAAUCGGUAAAUAAAGAAUAUGAUUAGAUAUCUAAACUAACAUAAAAUAUUCAUCCUUCAAGUCAUUUCCACAAAGUGACAUUGUGUUACAGGGGAAAUGCAUUAUACUAACAAGCAAGGAUCGCCGAGAACUUACAAACAACAAAAGAUAUAAUAUAAUCCCAAAUAGCAAUAGUGAUACAUAGCUAGGAGAUUGAUUCUAGUCCGUUUCAAGGACUCGUUUCAUUAUUUUUUAAAAAAUUAUUUAUUUCAAGUACGAGGAAAAGAUAUGCUGAACAACGUAUUCAUGCAUGCAAACAAACUUCCAGACAUGUCAUGAAACAACAAGGGAGAGCAGCAAUACCGUAAUGGUGGAGCCGAAGAAAUCCGCAAAGGCCGACCGGAAGCUUCGGAAGAAGUCCUCAAAGGCCUCCACCGGCCUCCUGCCGCCGAGGACGGGCAAUUCGUCGACCGCGAACGAGAGGUACUCCUCAUGGUGCCGCCCAUAUCGGUCGGUGAAGAGAAUAUCGGGGUCGGCGGCGGCAGCGCGGGCGACCCACUCGGGGAGGGGGACUCCAGGGCGGCGGUGGGAGCCGUGGAGGCAAAGGGUGGCACGGAUGCGGAGUCCGGCAGCGCGGGCCAUCUCGACGAGGGCCGCGUGGCUGGCCCAGUCGAAUUGGGCCGGGUCAGAAUCGGGCUGGGCCGCGGCCCAGAAGAUGGGGAGCUCGACGCCGUAGGCGCCCAGAAGCUUCAGGGCCCGCAGGCCCGCCGCGAUGGCCUUGGCGUGGUUCACGCCGCCGUGGGCCGAUGCCACGUCCAUGGGCAGGCCCACGAAGAGCUCAACCGGACCGGUCAGGGCCUAGAAAGAAAAAACCGAACCAAAAUAAAUAACCAGAAUAGUGAGAGAAACUGUGGAAGAUCGGGAAAUAGGAAACCAAAGUUUAUAGAAAGUGUAUCUUGACUCUUUUUAUUACACAUAGAAAUAAACAUCAUUUAAUCAAAUAUCAUCACAAAAUAAAGAACAAAAUUUUGGGUAAACUUCAAUUUGCUCUUUUGUGGUAUAGCGUAUUUUCACUUUGCCUUAUCGUGAUUCAAAAAACUAUACUUAAUUAUUCUGUGAUUUAGCUUUUAUUUCAACAAAAAACUAUCGUCAAAUAAAACAGUAAAGUAAUUUUUUUUAAAAAAAACCACAAUGACAAUACAGAUCCUCAUAGUGAAAUAAAAAUAAAUAUAUAGAAUUAUUAAGUGUAGCAUUUUUAACUACGGGAUGGUAAAGUAAAAAAAUAUGCUAUAUGACAAAAUAAUUAAUUGUAACUUUUUAAACCAUCAUUUAAAUUUAACAUUCUCAUAUUAUAUAAAUUACCAUUCAACAUUAAAAAGUAUGAUAUCGGUUUGUAAUAUAUCCUAUCUUCUGACCAUAUACUAUCUGCUGCGUUAGAAUCAAACAAUAUUUGCCAAGUUUUUUCCACGGCAAUUUUUAUCAGACGCAUAAAAAAUAAAUAAUAAAAAUUAGAGAUCUGGUUACAAAAAUUUAUAGUUAGGAACUAGGUAAAUAAAUGUAAGGGACCAAUUUUGUAAUUACCUAUACUCCAUUAACAUAAUUGCUAACAAAUUUCUUUUUUCUUUUUUGUCGGUAAAAGUGUAUGGAGACCCCUCAACAUUUCGACCCUAUUUUUAAAUCAUUAAUUUAAUCACUCUAUUAGUUAUUAACCAUUAACUAAUUUAACUUGCUAGAAAAUAAUUAAAACUAUUAAAUUAGUGAAAUUAUCAAUAGAUUUGAUAAAAUUUCUAAAUCAUUUUAACUAAAAUCAUUCAGUUCCAAAAAAAACUUAAAAAUUAAAAAGAGCCUCAAUAAAAUAAUAGUUGAGAGCGCAAUUUCAGAACGUAAUUACAACAAACCGAGAAUUAAAAUUUAUCCGAAAUAUCCAAAUUUAAAGUUAAUUAUUUUUUUAAAAAAAAGAAGGCAUAUAGGGAUUAUUAUUACCGAGUUCGUCUUACGCGGUGACUCGUUCGUCUCCUUCACCAACGCCGCACGGAAACCCCCGGCCCCGACUCGGAUCGCCCGAUUCCUCCGCAUCGCCGCGUCGAACCCGACUCGCCAGAUCCCCGACCCCACUCGGACCGAUUCGCCGAACCCGAGUCUCCUCGCCGGAAACGCCCCGCCCUUCGCCGCCGCCGCCGCCGCCGCCUUUGGCCCCGUCAACACCGCCUCCAUGGAUCGAUCGAUCGAUUCCGAAAAGGAAAUCAAAUGUGAGAGAGAGAGAGAGAGAGAGAGAGAGAGAGAGGGAUUCGAUUAGGGUUUUGAUCGCUCUCGAUCUGGGGAUUUGGAGGGAGGAGAACGAGGGAGUCGAUUAGGGUUUGAUCGAUUUCGAAUUUGGGGAUUUUUUGGUAAUGGAUGAAUGGGGAGGAGGAAGAAGAGGGAGAGUGGGGAUAAAUAGCGGAGGGGCAACAAGGACAAAAAUUGGGUAAAAUUGAAUGGAGACCCCUCAACUAUGGGAAACUUUGAAAAAGGCCCCUCAAACUUUGUUUCAGACCCGCUUAAUUUUUUUUGAUUUUUAAAAAUUAAAUAAUUUUAAUCCAAAAGGGUAAAAUAUCACUAAAUUUAAUCAAUUUAAUUUACAUUUAACAAAUACAACCAAAUUAAAUUAAUGACUAAAUAAUUCAUACGGUCAUUAAAUUUUGUUCAAAAAUAAAAGCAGAGGGGCUUAUCUCAAAAGACAUUAUAGUUAAGGGGAUUUCAUGCAAUUGUUAUCGCCACAUGGCACUCUUAUCCACAGCUAAGAGUGUAAACGAGCCGAAUACGAGCGAGCUGGGUCGUAAACGAGCUGAACACGAGCUAACUCGUUAAUCGGCUUGUUUGAGCCGAACACAAGCUGACUCAUGAGCUGACCAACGAAUAAUAAAUUAAAAAGAAUUAGAUUAAAUAUAUAUAAAAAAUAAAUUUAUAAAAUUCUAUCUAUUAGACUUUGAUCGCUUUACGUAUAAAUAAAUUUUUUUAUAAUUAAACUCGUAUUUAUAUUUUUAUUUUAUUAAAAAUUAAAUAAUAAAAAUAUAUAUUAUAUAAAAUUAUUUAUUUAUAUAUAAAAAUAUAAAUUAAAUAAAUUAUAUAAAUAUAAAAUAUAUAUAUUCUGGUUGUUAUCGAGCCUAACACGAGCAAGCUGAUCCCAACUCGCGUUCGGCUCGUUUAUUAAACAAGCUAAAAAAUUCAGUUCGUGGUCGACUCGUUUACUAAACGAGUGAUUCGAUCUCGAACUCGUUUCGAGCGAAAUAUGAACUUGCUCGCGAACAGCGAGCUGAAUUGCCACACAUACUCACAGCCGCAAAUAAAUCGAACGGCUACUGGUUUAAUUUAAAUCCCAACCAGCUGUUUUCUUCUCGUCCACAAAUGCUCGCCCUUCGACCUCCCACUCUAAACUAACGCCAUGGCAUUUUCGCGAAAUUACGGUCCGUACCACGUAACCCGUGGAGGAUAAGAAGGGACUUUUUGGUAAUUUCGUGGUUAUGAGGAGCGCGUCAUUUGUAUUUUGAGGAUAAGAAGGGGCUUUUUGGUAAUUUCGUAGUUACGAGGAGCACGUCAUUUGUAUUUUUUUACGGAUAAAGAAAUGGAGAUUAGCUGAGCGCCGCGUGGCAGACGGUUCGGGUGGAGGAGGACGAAGAUUCCGAUCGGUUUUGGACGCACACGCGUGCCACGUGGCAUACCGACACGUGUCCUGCACUUUAUCCCCGGACUACGUGGCGAGGCACCGGCGCGUUUUAUCGCUGUUGUGUGUUCGAGCCUCGUUGUGGAUUGAUCCUGGAGACAGGGGAACGUGAUGCUGUGGUGUAGGUUUGCCACGUGGAGUAAUAUGAUUGGUGGUGACGUCAUCAGGAACUAUUGGCGAUUGGUACGCGAAGGUAUGGCGUGUUGGGUUACAAAGUGGAAAAAUUCUAGGAGGCAACGGGUAUAUUGGUGACGUUGCGUAACAAAAUAAUCAAAUGUCUCCUUUCGGGAAUAUAUGUUCUAUCAUGAUUAUAAAAAUAUAUUUUUAUUAUAUACUUUUAUUUAAAAAGAAGAAAUAUGAUUGACUUGUUAUUGAUGACAUGGUGCAAAUAUGACUGUGUAGAAUUCCUCAAAAGUGGGCCCGGUUAGUACACGUCAGAUCAGAUUAUACUAAAAAGCUAAAUUAUUUGGGUUAAAUUUCACCGUUAGUGCCCCAACUUUAAUCUGUAUUUUAUUUUGGUGCUCGAAACAUUCAAAUUGGAUUAGAUCAUAUUUUAAAUUAGGCCAAAUUGCAUAAAAAAUUCACUAGUUUUGCGCUUUUGCAAAAUUAAACCAUCUUUUUCGAUUUUGCAGAUUCGGACCGAAUUUUUAGUAAACUGAACAAAAUACACUUAUAUAUUUUUCUCUUUUCUUUUUUUUUUCUCACGUUCUUUUUUUUUUCCGCUGAAGAAGGCGACGGAGGCGAAGGCGGAAAUGGCCACCAUCGUCUCUGCACCUCACGCCCUCACCCCUACCCUCGCCAGUGCACCCCUCGCCUUACUCGCUUCCGAUCCAGCCGAAGCCACGCUGCAAUUUUUUUUUUUUUUCCUCUCCAACCCUCCUCCACUGCCUUCGCCUCCCUCCGCAAUAAUAACAAGGACGGUAACGUGUCCUCUUCCUUCGCCUUCGCCCUCCACCUUCAUUGCAGCAAAUUUUUUACCCGCCAAACAAACCCGCCGUCCCCACUACCGCUGUUGCGCGAGGAAGAGAAAGUGCUUCUCGGGGCUGAGAAGCUCGCCGGCCAGGGAAGGGGCACGCGGCCGGCCCACCCACUUAUUCCAGAGGUCGGCGGCGAGCGCGGCCUCGACGGUGUCGGAGGCGAGAAAGGCCAGAAAUGUAUAGAAGAAUUUUUGGAUUAGCACUUUUCUUUGUUUAAAACAAAAAAAAACUAAAAGGCCAAAAAUUAGAGAAUAAUAAAGAAAACCAGAGAAGAAGGAAGUGCAAAAUGAAUUUGCACUGUUAAAAUUCAAUUGUACUAUUUUAAAAGAACGUUGCACUAUUAUGGACGUAAGUUGCAUUCUUUUAAAUCUAAACUGCACCCUUUAAGAUAAAAGUUACACUUUUUAAUCGAAAAUUACACUCUUUGAGAGAUAUUUACACUGUUUCUACGCUUGUUACACUCUUUAAGAGAAGAUAUUUAUAUUUUUUUUUCCUCUUGUUGUACUAUUUCUCAUGUUAAAGAUGCAGUUUACACAUUAACAUAUCAAAGAAGAAAUAAUGCAAUAAAAGAAAAAAUAGUGCAACAAAAAAAAAUAGUGUAAAUAUCUCCUCUUAAAAGUGCAACAAGAGGAGAAACAGUGUAAAUAUUUCUCAAAAAGUGCAACUUUCGUUUAAAGAGUGUAAUUUUCAUCUUAAAGGGCAGUUUACAUUUAAAAAAGUGCAACUUACGUCCAUAAUAGUGCAACGUUCUUUUAACACAGUGCAAUUUAAUUUUAAUAGUACUAAUUCAUUUUCUUCUUCAUUCUUCUCUGGUUUUCUUUAUUAUUCUCUAGUUUUUGGCAUUUUAGUUAUUUUUUUUAUUUUAAACAAACAAAAGUGCUAAUCCAGAGAUACUCCCGUGCAUUGUUCGCCCUUCUAGCCUCCGACACCGUCGAGGCCGCGCUCGUUGCCGCCCUCUGGGGUAGGCGGGUGGGCCGCGUGCCCCUUCCCUCGCCGACGAGCUUCUCGGUCCGAGAAGUGCUUUCUCUUUAUCGUCGACGGCGGUGGCAAGAACGUGAGUUCCCAGAAGUGGGUUUGGUAGGUGUAAAAUCCGCUGCAAUGGAGGUAGAGGGUGAAGGCGGAGGAAGAGGACGCGUUUCCAUUCUCGUUAUCGUCGCAGAGGGCCGCGGAGGCAGUGGAAAAGGGUCAGAAAAAAAGAGGAUCGUAGAGCGAGCUCGGCGGGGUCAGAGACGAGUAGGGCGAGGGGUGCGCGGGCGAGGGUUAGGGGAGAGUGUAAGGAAGUGAAUUCUCGAAAUUCGAGAGUUGAACUUUACUCAGAAUAGACUAAUUGUCGAGUGGGUAUGCUUCGGAAAGGCCGAAGAAGUCAAAAACUCAAAAAGUGCAUUGCAACGGACCUCGAAGAGCAAACUGGUGAAAAUCUGCACUUGGCAGAUUUUUGCUCUCGGGGAUCGGUCUCUGGUAUGAGGGACUGGUUCCCGUAAGCAUUGUGUGCGGCAGAAAAUCUCUGCGCACAAGUAUUGCUCUCGGGAACCGGUCCCUGGCGGGAGAGACCGGUCCCCGUACGCGCAGCUAGCGAAGAGAAGGAAAAUUUGGCUAAGUUCUGAGAGUUCUGCUCUCGGGAAUCGGUCCCUGGCUGGACAGACCGGUCCCCGUACGUGUAGGAAGCUGGGCACAACCCUCUGCCCGCAUGGGAGGCUCUCGGGGACCGGUCCCUUUAGGGACAGACUGGUCCCUGAGCACGAAAUUUGCCCAGUCUGGGCAAUAUGAGAGAAGCAAAGUUGAGGGGCUUGGAUGCAAUUGUUGCAUUAGUGAGGGGUAUAGAGAGGAGAUCACUCUCUCUCCCUCUCAUUUUCUCACCCAACCAAAUAUAUCUGUCUCCCUCUCUCUCUCUAAGCUCUCUCUCCUUCUCUCUUGAAGUGAAGAAGGAAAAGAAGGAGAAGAAGGUGGAGAAGAAGGAGAAGUAAGCUUGGAUAAGGGCUUUGGUCAUCUCCCUUUUCCUCUCCUCACCAUUGGAGCUAGCUUAGAGGUAAGCUUCCAAGCUCAUUAAUGGUAGAAAACUAGGGUUUGAAUUUUUAGCUUUAGAAAUGGUUUAAUUAGGAUUCUAGCAUACUUAAUAGUUGAUUAAUGCUAGAAUCUAGAAUUUUGUUGGAGAAUAUUAUAUAGAUGCAAACCUAGGGCUCCAAAUUGGGGCUUUGCUUAUUAGUGAGGUUUGAUUGCGAUUGAUGGCAUCUAAACCUAAUUGUUAGGUGUCUAAACGCGUUGGCGAAGACGGAUUGAGCAUUCGUCGAGCUGGUGAAAAGUUAUCGGCAAAACAAGACCGAUUGGACUUCGUUUUCACCUAAGAGGUCGACGCGACGUUGAAGCAAGUGCCGAAUAGCGUUCUUAGAGCCUUGACAUCGUGGAAAUGUGGGUGGUGUCAUCCCGAAGCAACUGGGUUCCUCUCCAUAUCUUAGUAUAUCAUGAUCUCGCAUCUCUUGCAUGUUGCAUUGUAGGGUUGCAUUGUUUUCCAUUCCUUAUGCUUUGUAAUUGAUACUAGUGUAGUUACCCCGCGCGAUGCGGCGGAUAAAUAUUGUUGUAGUAAAAUUUUUUCUUCGUCAAGACUUGAAGAUAUAUAAUGAUUAAAAAAAAAAUCUAAAAAUACCUCAUAAGUUUGCGAAAAAAAAAAGCAACACAUCCUAUCAGUGCAUAAAUUCCUAAAUAAAGAGGGCUUAAAGCAAUUUAAUCAGCUUACGUACAAUAGGCAAAAAGGAAGAAGCAUUUGAAACUUAAAACCAACCAAUAUAACUGCAAUGAUACAUAGACAAAUCAAAACGUUCCUACUCAAUAUAUAUAUAUAUAUAUAUAUAUAUAUAUAUAUAUAUAUAUAUAUAUAUAUAUAUAUAUAUAUAUAGCAUGUGGUCUAGGCUCAAUGAUAAAUAAAAAAAUUACCAUUUUACAGCAUAAAAAGUUCAGAUUCAGUAAACUACGGAUGAACAGAAAUAACAGAAACAUAGCCGAAUUAGCAAAGGAAGGUUUUAGCUUUGACCGAUAAAUUGAUUGGUUGAAAAUUUGUUCGAACCGAAGUAAUGAUAGACUAAUACGAUAAUUUGAUAUUAAUUGAAUGUAUAAUCAGCUUAAAAAGUCAGAUUACUAUGACAACUUGAACAAAAUUCAACCUUGACAUCAUCAGAUUGGCACCGACCAAUAAAAAUGCAUUGAUACAUAGAUAAAUCAAAAAGUUCCAAAUGAAGUAUUUUAAAAUGGCAAAGGUAUGACAGCUAAAAAAUGUUAAAGUGCAGAGAUAUAAAAGCAAAUUCUAUUGUAUUAGUAAGAUACACACUUCAAGAAUGUCUGAGAGAUCCAAAAUUGGACUAUUAACAAAACACCUUGAGAGAAUGAGAUCUACAUGAUCAAGUUCCACAGAGAAGCUCUUUUUACAGUUUCAAGUGAGCGGUUUGAAAGCAUUAUGAUUAGCAGCAUUAAGAUGUUAAAAAAAAAGAAAAAUGUUGUGACCUCUUCAACUAUAGGCUAUUUUUAUAAUUGUGAGGAGCAUCAAAAAAGGGAUCUUUUUUCACCUCCAAAACAUUCGGUUUCGUUAUAAAGAGGAACCACGAUCGUGACGACGCAAUCGGCGAGCAUGGUAAUGAUGAACCAGGCGUUCGCAAGCAUGAAGGCAUAUGGGUUAAUCAACAAAUAUUAUAUUAUCAAAGCACUCUAAAUCGAUGUUUAUACUUAGAUGGUGUUUUGAUUUAAUUGUGUGCAGGUUAUAUUGGUCAAGCAUAAUCCGAUUAUUCGAUUAGCAGACUUAGUUAACAAAAGUUAUACAUAAAACCAAAGAGAUAUAUAAUCAUUAAGAUCAACUAAAAUAGUUACCUUUAUUCCAUUAGCAUGCCACCUUCUAAGAGCCUCAGGAACAUCAUCAUAAACAACCCCCUGCAGUUUCUUGUUCUAAAAUCUUGUCCUCUAUAUAUGGCCCUGCAUGUCAGCAUGAAAAUAAGACAUCUCUAACAGCUGUCAGCUAUGUUCUACUGAGACCAAGUUACAUUUGCUACUACCUGCAGUUGUUUAAGUGAUGUGAUUUUUCGAUCUGCUUUGAUCAUGGCUUCGACAUUAGCGACUAAGGAAUUGAUCACUUCCUCUUUUCCAGCAUCAUCGGGUGGAAUUGGAACUGCCCCCGAAACCCCUCGCUUCAAGUCGUCCUCAACCUGUCGAAAAUCAGGCCAUAAACACAAAAAAUGAUGAAAAGUAAGGAGAUUAUUUAUCAAUUUAUGAGCUCCUAUUGAUUCUCCAACAUGGAGUUGAUAUGUCAGAAUCUAAAUACUCAACAGAGAAUUAAGAAUUCGCAGCAUUUGACACAAAAAUCAUAGCUCACAACUUCGAUUCAGAAAAAACAUGAAGCACAAUCAGGUCGUAAACACAAAAAAUGAUGAAAAGUAAGGAGAUUACUUAUCAAUUUAUGCGCUCCAAUCGAUUCUGCAACAUGGACCUGAUAUUAGAAAUAAUACGUAAUUAUAUCAAAAUUGAUGAUGAAACAAAUUCGCAAACUUGCAUAAUUUGGCUAGUUCAAACUAUUGAUGGUCAUUAAAAAAAAUUUAAAAACGAAACUCUUAAGGGUGAUGAGAGAAACUAAAAUGAUAAAUUAUUAAAUAGGGAUAUAUACAAUCCAAGGACAAAAACUUGCUGAAAGUUGCAAAACCAACAGAAGUUGGGUUCAUUGCAAGAAUGUUGAGUAAAGUAACAUGUUUGUAGAGUUAUACAUGACCAAAAUAAAUCAAAUAGGAUUAGUAUUAUUUGUUGCAAAGAUAAUAUAAAAGAAAUUCAAUACAUAUAUACAAUUUAUUUUGCAAACAAAUCAUAUGCGAAAGCAUUGUGAUAUAUAGCAUGCGGUCCAGGGCCAAUGAUAAAUCAAAAAAUUACCACUCCACAGCACUAAAAAAUUCAGAUUUAGCAAACUGUGGAUGAACAUGAAAAAACAAAUAGAAAUAUACAGCUAAUCCGCACGCCUAUAUAGCUUCUUACCAUUAUGCAUCGUGUACAGUUCUUCUCUAGUUAGGAAUUGUAUAGUUGGUCCAAAGUAAUUAUAUGUUAUAAAUAUAUUUUAACUGUUUUGUAAAAAUAAGAGUUUAAAAACCAGUAUAUAGUGCAAAAAUGAAUUAAAAAUUCAAUCACCAUUUGAGCACCUUGCAGGGUGUCCUGACGAAGAAGAGCAUAUUAAAAAACAAAACAAAACAAAACAAAACCUAACCUUUUUAGAAAUUAAAUACACACAAAACUCUGAAAAUUCAUAUAUAUAUUCAACUAUAUGCCAUUUUUAUAAUUGUGAGGAGCAACAAAAAAGGGAUUUUGAUAAAAUUGUUUAAAUUCUACAACCGAAUAGCAAAAGAGGAACAUCAAAAGAGGGAGCUUUUUCCUUUUCUCACCUCGGAACCGCUCGGCCUCUUGAUUGUAAUCGAGAAGCUUCUGCUCGAUUCGCUUCCCGGAGGUGAAAUCGAAGCCCGCGGAGGUGAAAUCGAAGGCCGCGGAGGUCUCGCUACCAAAUCUGAGAUGGAAAAAAUCAGAAAGAGAGAAAUUGGGUUUUUUUUUUUGCAAAUAAAAUUUUUACAGAGGCAUACUAUAUAGGCAACAGUAAGGGACCACGGAGGAUGAAUCCGAGCAAUUUUCGCGACCGAAGGGAAUGAAUAAGCCGAAACGAAGCGCCGCCAACAGGAACGACGCGACCGGAAGAAGGGACGACCAUGAACUCGGCCCAACACUCCAUCCAGAGAGGGAAUAGGAGUCGGAGCGGCAUCUAGGGGGCGAACGAAACGAAGCGUCGCCAAAGGGAACGGACGCGACGCCAAGAAGUCCAGCCAUGAACCCAGCCCAACAAUCCGUCCAGAGAGGGAACAUGAGUCGGAGCGGCACCUAGAGGAGCGAGCGAAGGAGCCGAGGGUGGAAGACGAAGCAAGGAAUAUUAAAUGGGCACUAAUUACAUAAUAGAGUGCCUUAAGAUGACAGGUAGGGUCCACAGAAAAUUAGAUUAAGCUAAUGUUGCCACGUGGACAAAAGGAAACGGGGAUUCAUUAGAGUUUAUAGAUUAUAGUGUGAGUUCAAUGCUUGGUAUUAUGGAUAGAUAAGAAUUGGGUCAUGACAUUGAAUCCUAUAGUGCCGAGGAAAUGAGAUGGACUCGAUGGUUCCUAGUGACAUAAUGAGUGGCAUGUGGUUGACAAAUGAACAGAACGAGUGGCAUGUAACUUAGUGUAAAGUGAUAAAAGAGGUUUGUGAACUUAGGGAUAGAUGGACUCCCUAGUGAUGACUCGUUGAACAAGAAUAUAUGUAGUUAAACACUUACACAUGGACAUUGAGAUAGGUGGAUUCCCGAGUGAUUUCUAGCCCUAAUUGAUAGGGUAUCCUCGAAUUGAGAGGAUGGAUCAAGUUCACAGUCUGUUUAUACUUGUAGUGGUCGCGCCACACAAGUCGUCGUGCACUCCAAACUAUGGUACGAGAGGGGCAGAGUUAAUGUCACGCAGACAGUCCUGGGUUUGAGAGCGAGGUGAGUCUCCUUACCAUACGGGAUGGCGAGGUGAGUCGAGGGUGAACCCAAGGGAUCGCCAAAGAUUGGACAAACAAGAGAAUAUCACUGUUAUUGAACAUUUGCCGAUCGGACAUUGUAGUAGACAUAGUGGCAUGUUAGUAAACCAUUUACUAUAUGAUGCAUGCAUACAUUACACAUGAUUUGGGCAUAGUAGCAUAGUUUUCUUACUAUGUCAUUUACAGUUUUCGUAUCUAUCUAUCUAUCUAUCUGCUUUUGCCCACUCGGACCUAGUGGGGAGAUCGGUGGAGUCUGCGGCCGAACCCACUUGGAACUAUGGACAAUAGUUCUCACCCCACUUUAUUGCAGGGCCUAGUUCGAGCGCGCCGUGCGAGAACCGCGGCAAGGGUAUAGCGCCCGAGCAGUAGUACAUAGUAGCUUUCCUUUUUGCAUUAGCAUUACCCUAUGUAUUGAGAGACUCAUGUAGGUGGGGAUUGGAGAGCUAUUGAUGUAUUUUGGGAUAAUCUAGUAAACCAUGUAUCCAUUUUAGAAAAGAUGUAAAUAUAAAUUGAGGUAAAUGAAUGCAUUGUGAUGUAAUAGCUAGUAGAUCUCUCUUUCGUUCACUUGUAUGCACAUGUGACUCUUGCUCUUAGUUGUUGGCACUUGUGGUGCUCUUCGUUGAUUGUGUAUGUAUAUAAUUUCUAUUCCUGGGCAAAUUCUUGUAUACGAUCUGAUUGUUUAGCCUUGGGCGGACAGAGGAGGUGCUGUCCUUUCGGCGUCUGUUCGACGCCCCCGAACCGGACCAAAUUGGUAGCAGUCUCGGGGCGUGACAGAGGGUGAGGGCGUGAGGUGCAGAGACGAUGGGGGCCGUUUCCGCCUUCGCCUCCGUCGCCUUCUUCGGCGAGAAAAAAAAAAUGAACGGGAGGAAAAAAAAAAAAAAAGAGAGAAAAAUGUAUAAGGUUAUUUUGGUCAGUUUACUAAAAAUCUGGUCCGAAUUUGUAAAAUCAAAAAAGGUGGCCCACUUUUGCAAAAGUGCAAAACUAAUAAAUUUUUUAUACAAAUUGGCCUUUAAAUUAUUAAUAAAAAUUUACUAGUGAAAAUAUAUAAAAUUUGUCUGUAUUAUGAUUUGUUUUGAUCCGACCUGUUUAAUUAUAAGAUUUUUUUUCAGCUUAUUUGAUUCCAAUCAUUUGGUGACUUUAUUAUUACAAAAUUUACACAUGAUGCUUGUUUUGAUGGAACUAUAGCCAUAUAAAUCCCAUCCAUUAAAAAAAUGUAUAUUUAAAUUCGGGCCGGUUAAUUUUUAUUUUAUUUUUUGCCUUCUUUUAUUGCUCCAUUUAUGAAGGGUCGAGAUAAAAGCAAAAUUUUGAUGAAUCGGAUCGAUCAAAUGAAAAAAAUAGUCCCUCCUCUUCCACUCUAUUUUCUUAACAAAUCGUGGAAAAUUCAAGACGGGAUUUUUUGAAAAAAUUUUAGCUUUUGCUUACUGCCAAUUCGAGGCGAAUCAGGAUGAGAGUUCCAUCAGCCCGAAUUCAUUUGCCUCCCUCGCUUUGUUAAUUUGAAUGUCGAAUUCAUUUGCCUCCCUCGCUUUGUUAAUUUGAAUGUAAUUACAAAUGUCGUAGUUGGAAAUAUAUGCGGCUAAAAAUACAGAAAAUACUAUAAAUAAUUUUAUUUUCGUCCUCAAAUUUUGGUUGUAUGUAAUUCUAAAAGAACCAUAAUUGUAAUAUCACUAAGUAGAAUGUUCGAUUUAAUUUAUUUAGAUCCGACUAUGACAAUUGAAACUGUAUACAGAGACUUGAUUACACUAAUUAAAAUUGUGUCAAAAUUGACAGCUAGAUAGAGUAACUUUUCAACAAGACAUAAGCUUAACUAUAUUGGGAGUAAUUUUAUGAUUCUACUUAAAAUCUCUUAACUAUGACUUAAAAAGAGCCUCUCUGGUGCUCUUCUCAAUUCCACUGCUUACCAACAAUUCACAAUGACAAUAUUUACAGUAGACAAAAGGCCAUGUAUUGAUUGCCUCAGACCGCCUGCAUCUCCCGCUCCUUUUGCGAUGCCGAACCGGCCGAAGGCGACAACAUGCCCUUCUCGUUACUCGGCAAGUCGUCCGAAUCCAUCUCUUCGUGAACCAUGCUCCUCAUGAAUGCUGUGAACUGUGGCCAGUGCUCCGGCGAGAAGAACUCCGCGCCCAUCCGGUUGUAGGUGAAAGAUUUCACUUUCGAGUUACCUGCAGAGAUAUUCGCUUUGAUUUGGUCGAAUCCCCCUGCGGGCGCCCUAACCAGCGACGAAUUCUCCCCCAGUACCUUCACCCCGUGCUUCCCGCACGAACCGACUAUCUCAGAGAGUAGAGAUUCCGGGCUACAUUGCAGCUCCCGCGGUUGCUCUCGAUCUAAGAGGUCCAUUCCGGGAAUUACCAUCGCACACGAAUUCCUCGCGAACAUCUUCGCGACCGCAUCGUACCCAUUGCGGCCGUCGGUGUUGUAGAACCCAGCUGUCAGCUCGGCUGGGUGCGACCGGGUGCCACGCCACCAGUGCAGCAGCGGCACUUUGCCAGAUAUUUCUACCGGCAGUUCACCGAAAAUGUUAGAUGCAAUCGAAAGAAUACGAUCCCCGUGGUUCACGAGCUGCUGCGAGUACCAUGAGAGGAAGAAGUUGGCGUAUGGCGUCUCCCACGAGCCGCCGUGGUCUCUGAAGAAGUUGGUGGAAUCCGGUGAUUGGUUGUAUCCGGGUGCGUCGUGGGGGCCCGAGAGGCCCCACAACGGCUGGCCCGAUUGCUCGGCGUGCUGUUUUAGUUGCGCGAGCAUGUACUUGUCGUAGCAUUGGAAUUCACCGACGCCGGUGAACUGGUGGCCUCCGGUCGCUGGCGGGAACGACGGGUACCGGAGCUCGCCGUUGGG
rnacentral:lncRNA from 1 species